GUAGACAUAGUUUAACUAAAACACUAGAUUGUGAUUCUAGAAACAGAGGUUAAACCCCUCUUGUCAACC
rnacentral:tRNA from 1 species